rnacentral:miRNA from 1 species
GGGCCCGGAAGGGGGCGCUGUCACCAGUUGCUGUUGCUUUUCUGCAGUCACUGACAGGAAGGGACCACAUCCUGCUUCAUGUCAGCGACUCCUGCCCUUUGGUCU